AGGCUCUGAGUGAGAGCCCGGCCCUUGCAGCAGGGCAGCGAGGAAGCCAGGGACGAUGACCAAGCUCUCUUUAGGGGUCUGGGGAGCUCCAUGAGGCUGGUUACGCAUUUCUCUUUGGUGAAAGGUCUUUGGUUGGUUGGAAAAUUUCAGGAAUUGGUGUUAGGAGGGUCUGAAUUGCAGCUCUGGCCCUAAAUCUUGUGUGUGCCCUGGGCCUUCUGGAUGCUGCUUUCCUCCGAGGGAGGAUAAAAGUUCCAGGGAGCACAGGCAGCCCGGGACUCCAAGGCCUGGACUGGUCGCUGCCUGGGAUCAUCAGUCAAGCCAUAACCAAGAGUGUGGAGGCUGUCGUUCUGCGAAAACAGUCAUCUUCUAGGAACUAGGAACCCACCCUUCUGGAGUCCCCAUCCCAGCUGGACCUUCUCCACUCCUCCUUUCCCAGCCUUUACUGAAGUUUUAGCUAUCUGGGAAAAGAUCUGCUAGUAGGACCUGGGGCUUUUGUUCCUUGCACCACCCACUCACUGUGGGCUUUUGUAUCAGUGCAGAGGAUGGGUCCUUUCCCCUUAUCUUUUCCCCCAUUUGAGCUCAGCUCAGACCCAAAGGCUCUUCCAUUUACCAUCAACAUGGAAACUUGGCUCUUCAUGUGGGUGUAUUCACCCUCUUUUGUGCAUUAUCUUGUUCCUCAAAACUGCCCUUCCAGGAAGGAGGCCUGUGUAGUCAAGGGACCGGCCAGUCACACCCGGAGGUGACUGAGCCUCUCAUAUCUCAGGUCGGGUAGACCAAUUUAAUAAAGGCUUAUGUACUUGA